AAGACUGUGCUUUCAGGGAUCAUUUCUAUAGUUGGUGAUUAGAGAAGGAUGUGUGUGAAAAGCUGGUCUUGCUAACCAUGAUGAAGAAUUAUAGUGUUUUCUUCUGAGUAUGAUAGUAGCAGACAGUGUGGGUCUGUGCUAGUUACUUUCUGCUGUGGAUGAUUGUUCUCUUUUUCCUGGGAAAAGCAGGGGAAGGAACCACAAGCUGAGUGGUU
rnacentral:snoRNA from 1 species